UACGUAAGGGGCAAGCGUUGUCCGGAAUCACUGGGCGUAGAGGGCGCGUAGGCUGUUUGGUAAGUAGAAGGUGAAAGACUUGGGCUCAACCCAAGAAUUGCCUUCUAAACUGCCUUACUUGAGGAUCUGAGGGGAAGCUGGAAUUCACGGUGUAGCGGUGAAAUGCGCAGAUAUCAGGAGGAACACCGGUGGCGAAGGCGGGUCUCUGGGCCGAUACUGACGCUGAGGAGCGAAAGCAUGGGUAGCGAACAGG
rnacentral:rRNA from 1 species